CACGUAGGCACCAAGCGUUGUCCGGAUUUAUUGGGCGUAAAGAGCUCGUAGGCGGUUCAGUAAGUCAGGUGUGAAAUCUUUGGGCUUAACCCAAAGCGUGCACUUGAUACUGCUGUGACUUGAGUUCGGUAGGGGAGUGGGGAAUUCCUAGUGUAGCGGUGAAAUGCGCAGAUAUUAGGAGGAACACCGGUGGCGAAGGCGCCACUCUGGGCCGAAACUGACGCUGAGGAGCGAAAGCGU
rnacentral:rRNA from 1 species